rnacentral:rRNA from 1 species
CAGCCGCCGCGGUAACACGUAGGGUGCGAGCGUUAAUCGGAAUUACUGGGCGUAAAGCGUGCGCAGGCGGUUCGUUAAGACAGAUGUGAAAUCCCCGGGCUUAACCUGGGAACUGCAUUUGUGACUGGCGAGCUAGAGUAUGGCAGAGGGGGGUAGAAUUCCACGUGUAGCAGUGAAAUGCGUAGAGAUGUGGAGGAAUACCGAUGGCGAAGGCAGCCCCCUGGGCCAAUACUGACGCUCAUGCACGAAAGCGUGGGGAGCAAACAGGAUUAGAUACUCCCGUAGUCCCUGUCUCUUAUAA